rnacentral:rRNA from 1 species
GACGAACGCUGGCGGCGUGCUUAACACAUGCAAGUCGAACGGAAAGGCCCUGCUUUUGUGGGGUGCUCGAGUGGCGAACGGGUGAGUAACACGUGAGUAACCUGCCCUUGACUUUGGGAUAACUUCAGGAAACUGGGGCUAAUACCGGAUAGGAGCUCCUGCUGCAUGGUGGGGGUUGGAAAGUUUCGGCGGUUGGGGAUGGACUCGCGGCUUAUCAGCUGGUUGGUGGGGUGGUGGCUUACCAAGGCUUUGACGGGUAGCCGGCCUGAGAGGGUGACCGGCCACAUUGGGACUGAGCUACGGCCCAGACUCCUACGGGAGGCAGCAGUGGGGAAUAUUGCACAAUGGGCGGAAGCCUGAUGCAGCAACGCCGCGUGCGGGAUGACGGCCUUCGGGUUGUAAACCGCUUUCGCCUGUGACGAAGCGUGAGUGACGGUAAUGGGUAAAGAAGCACCGGCUAACUCCGUG